AGUAUUCGUGGGUCCGUCUGCAGUCAGCCGGGCAAAGGGCUCGGCGGACUCUGGAAAUAGGGAAACGCGAACCGUGGACGUGCUCAUGACGAGGGGGGAGUGAGCUUACGAAGGCCACGUGCAGGCUGCCCAGAGCUUGCCCAGACUCACAAAAGGGGUUCCCUGAAUUGCGACUUCCUUUCUCUCUGCGUGGUGUGCUUAGUUCCAAGAUCCUUGUCAUGUUGGCUGAAUCAACAUCCCCAGAGGAUUAAGGCAACCGAAGGGUAUUUGAGUUUAUUUAUAUGGCUGCUAAGGAGAAUGAAUAAUUGUGCUUACAUCCAAAGUGUGCAUCCCCAGUGAGAAAUUCUGCAUUUCGGGAUCAGAGAUAAGUGUCCUGUUCCAAGACGUCAUAACCUGGAAGAAACAUGUCUUGGAUUUGAUUAAGGAGAGAAGUGAGGAGACUGAUCUCCUGUGUAGUGAUGAGACAUGGAGGCUGCUGGUGCAGGGUAGGUGGCUCAGAAGAAGGCAGAGUCCCCCUCGAAUAGAACAUUUUAAGGCUAAAUCUAGAUUCCUCACCCACAAGAGGGCAUGGUCUGAUCAAGGGUGAGGCUACCAUGUGCCAUCCUGGGGUUGGGGAGAGGUGGGGUGAAGAGACACAAUCACUGACCCCAGUGCGAUCUCAUGACUAUUCCUGGAUGUGCACUGGGUAGGGGACAGGCUGGGGCAGACCAUCCACUGAGCAUCUGCCCAGCCCUGACAGGAGGGCUGGGUUGGGACAUUGGCUUUGCCCUGCGUGUGACCUCCACAGAUCACCUGCCAGGGCAUGGGCCUGUGUGACACCUGUGUGACAGAGAUGUCAUUGUUAGGGCAGCACCUUGUUUCCUCACCAAAGUGGUGAUGCCAUCCUUCACUGUUUAUUUGCGUCAUGCUAUCUUUACAGCAAUAGUUGGUACCACGAUAAUCUUGUGCUCUACCAUCACCAGUUGAAAUAAGCAUAAAUGUGAUGCUUUCAUUGACAUUGUAAUUACCUUACCUAUAUAAUUGCUAUUAGUUCUUUUUUUAUUACUAUUAGUUCUCCUGCAAACAUGAAGAUGCUCCUAUAAACAGGUUUAGAUAAGCCACACUCUACAUGUUUUUGAGAGAUGUGAAUGAAAUGUAACCUUUUUUAUAAUGUAAUGUCAACAACUGCUGCCAUUUUGUUCCUCACAUAUAAGAAUCAUAGUAAUUAGCAUAAGUACAUGAACAAAAAUAACACUAGAGCCACAUGCAUUAUGUGCUGGGCACUGCUCCAUGCCCUCUAUAUGUUUUAAUAAUUUAAUAAUUAUGUAAUUGCUCAUAACCAUCUUGGAAGUCAAAAUUAUUCCUGUUUUAAAUAGAAAGCUGCGAGGGACGGAAGUGAUAAAUGUUCUGCCCUGUGGAUUCACAAUCAGGACGAACAUUUCCUGGAUUCGAUCCUAGGGUAGUCUGAGGUCUGGCUCCUUUCUCUUUGACAAUGUUCCUCAUAGAAACUUGUUACAAGCCUCUAGUGUCUGAGUUUCAUCCUUACUGUACUGAUGUCAUGGCGGUGGUGGUGUUGGCAAGGUCAGCUGACGAUACGCACUUCCACGAACACACACAGGUCAGUGAGUCUGUGUGGGGGCACCAAUGAGGCGGGAUUCCCCAGCAGAGCCAUCCUCGUGUGGGAUAGUUGACUCAUGCCAAUUGCUUUGUCCUUCACGAAUCCCUAUGGUUGCUUCCCAUCCGUGUGUCUGGUAACACGGAAUCCCUCACAUCAGUUGUCCUGCCUUCUGAGCUGCCCCCAGAACACUGGGCUUGUGGAUUCAUUACCCUUGGGUGUUCUGAGCCUCUGGGAUGGAUCCCUGUGAACCAUGGAAUGUCCUUUCAUGGAGGUAUCUGGAUACACUCUGUAGGCUCUCAUGUUGUAUCAUGCUUUCCCUCAAAGUUGCCUGCAUAGCAGAGAACUGAACUUUAAUAUUUGUCAUAUGGGGUUCUGGGGGGGGAGGUCCUUUUCUGAGCAAAACCAAAGCUUCCUAAAGGUAGGAUUAAACUAUCUCAUGAGCAGUCCCCAGGGCUGCACCUGCAGCGAAUGUCACUGUUGCGAGCUCCUUCACCUUGUUUCCUGGCCUCUCACUCCUUUCUGAUCCUAUCACUAUUCUCUGUACCUCUGUCCUCCACUCCUUCUCUCCUUGUUCCAUUCUACCUCACUACCCCAUCUCUCUCCUCCGUGGCUUCACCACAGCCCCAUUUCUUUUUCUCACAUGCCCCCAUUCACUUCUCUUGUCUAAUCGGAGUGGACUCCAGUAACGGAGAGCAGAGGGGACCUGACACUGCUGGACAUUGAACUCUGUAGACAGAUUGUAAAACUAAUGUGAGUUGCUGCUUUCCUGAAUUCCUGUCCUGUCCCAUGGGGCAUAUUUGCCCGAAAACAUUGAGUUCAUUCACUUGACCUUGACCAGCUCCGGCCUGCCCUUCCUACUUGGUCACUGUGACUAGAAUCACAUAAACGAGAGCCUCCUGCAUUUCACUCACCUCACCCAACUGAUGAGCCGUCUUACUCCGUAGGCUCAACAAACCGCCCAGGCCAUCCAGGCUCCCCAACGCUGUAAGAUUCCCAGGCACACCAGUCAUGCCAAACACUCCAUUCUUUCUUCCCGUCAGUUCCCUCCAAACCCUCAAAACUCACCAAGUGCAUGAUUUUGGAUCAGUGCUUGGGCACUUGUUUUUUUCUGCUUCUUGACUUGCGUCUUAGUGAAACAGGUGUGUACAUUUUGUUACAACUCACAAAGCUGUAUGCACACAGUGUUCAUGCAUUUUGUCGUUAAGUUUAUGCAUUAACAUAAUAUAAUAAGUAAAAAGUUGACAAACCUCCUCUGUGUUUCUUCAUUCCAUUUGAUUUCACCACUUUGUGUUCUCUUUCAUCUGCAAGUCACACUCUUGACCCUGGUUUUUCUCCAUGUCGAGUACAGCCUGUGUCUUUACACCACCGAAAGUAUAAAACCUGGAGGUAGACAAGUGUCAGGUCCAGAGUGCUCUAGGUUAAGAAAAGUUCUUAUAUCUCGUGAAUCUCCCUUAAAGUCUGUGGAAGGCAUGAGUCAUCUGGGGUAGAGAGACAGGGAGAACACAGCCUGUCUGGAGGGUUGAGUGAUAGGUCUGGCCCCUGAUCCCCACAAGGUCUUGGUCAAACACAGGAGAUGGACUGGAGAUGUGAGUUUAGUUUAAGGAGUAGGUCCAUGCUUCAUGGAUGCCACUGGCAGCUUGACCCUUUUUCUCUGAUGAGCUUGUAAGCCUGGCUCCCGGUCCAAGGCAGGAACAGGGCAAUAGUUCACGGGGUAGUGGACAGGCUUGUGGAAAGGGCAUGAUGCACAGGGAAAGCUUCCUAUGUUGUCCGUGACAUCCCCCUGUCUAGAAUUUUAUUUUCCCCUGAAGAUUAAUGGCCCAGUAUCCCUCUUCCUGGUCUCCUGUUUUCAGGGGGCUUUUGGGGAACUACACUGCUUGAGGCAGGAAGCACCUAUUGUGGGUGCUCAGGAGUUAUGGCAGACUAGAUGAACUGGUCCAGGCCCAGACAAUCAAACUUACCUCCUCUAAAAUCCCCUGGGGACUUUGAGAGGACAAAGGGUGCACCUAAUCAAAUAGAUUUGUUUCUGAUAUGCAUAAUCUCCUACUGUGUGCAGAGGAGGUCAUGGGGAAUGGUUAUAGCCUGGGGUCACAAUCCAAGUGAAGGACCCUGGAGGGCAACAGGGGCAUUGGUGCCUGGCCUUCCUAUGUCCUCUGGCCAAAUGCCUGUUCAUCUCUGGGUCUUCCCAGGACUGAGGAAAAGCUGAAGAUUUGGCUACAGAUUAAUGUGUAUCCAGCAUUUAUGAAGGAUCUCCAAUGCUCAAGGACACAUAAGACUUUUUGGAGGGUCCACAAACUGUAGUACAGACCAGAUGAACUGGUUGAGGUCUUGAAGCCAUGGGUAAGAGGAAGCCAGAUUCUCUGUUCAUUCCCUGAGGAAGCAUGGACUGGCUUUGGUAAUGUCUUGGGCAUGGCCAAUCUUGUAGUUUGGGAUGAGAGCCAUAAGCAUUGACCACUGACUUGUGUGUGACCUUCCAGUGAGGGCCUGACAGGUCUUGAACAUUCUUAGGAUGGGGGUGAGGCCAUUAAUGUUGCAUACGAUUGGCUCAGUCUAGGACCUGGGAGUUAUGCUGCGUCCCUAUAAUGAUUCUUCUAGGGUUGUAUUUACUUUUCUGAGAACCAGGAAAGGUUCUUUACUUUUUAAGAUUCAUACAACUAAGUUGGGCACACCCAGAUAAUCCAGAGCACUCUCCCCAACUCAGUGUCCUUACAUUUAACCAAAUCAGCAAAAUUCCUUUUGCUAUGUAAGGUACCACAUUCACAAGUUCUUCACAAGUACAUCUUUGGGGGAGCCAUUAUUCUGCCUACCUUCUAUGAAUUGAAUCAUGCCCUCCAUAAUUCAUAUGUUGAAGCCCUAACCCCUAAUGUGAUGCUAUUUGGAUAUAGGGCCAUUGGGCCAUUAGAAGGUUGUGAGAGGGGGUCCUCAUGAUGGGAUUAAUGGCCUUAUGAGAAGAGACCUGAGAAGUUACUUUCUUUUUCUUUCUACCACCUGAGGAUAUGGCAAGAAGGGAGUGGUCUGCACACCAGGAAGUGGAUUCUCACCAGAUACCAAGGCUGUGGCCACUUUGAUUUUGGACUUCCCAGCCUGCAGAACUGUGAGAAAUAAACUGGGUCUGUUGUUUAAGUGCCCCAGUCUAUGAUAUUUUAUUAUAGCAGCUUGAAUUGACCCAAACACUCCCAUAGUCUUCAAUCCCAUGCCACACUCCUAUCUUUUUACAGGUGAUCAAGGCUACUGAAGGGGUAUUUGAGUUCAUUUAUCUGACUUCUAAGGACAACAGUGUUUACAUUCAGAAGUGGACACCUCGGAAGAAAUUCUUCAUCUAGGAUGAUCAAGUCUCCUGAGGAGAAAUUUCAAUAUACCUACACAUCUGAUGA